GUCACAUAGACGUUCAUAUCUUGUCCAUAUCGCGUCCGUCCGUCUAAGACCAGUUCUGUACCCAAAAAUGACGUGCAAAAUAGGUAUACUAUUUUGACGUCAAACUAUGAGGUCCAUUAGACGUCUGAAUAUAGUUAAUCAUUUACCCAAUGGGGACUGCCUAAACAGAUGUGUCAAAAAAAAAAAAAACACAUUGGGAUGUGUAGACAGCAUUGACAGAUUAUGUGUCAUUUUUGUGUAAGAUUUCACAGAAUGUGUGAAACCUGAAGUUAAGAGAUUCAUUUCUGGGUCGUGCUACAACAAGUGAGAAACUAACGGCCGUUUGGCUGUCCAAUCGCGUGACUGUGGACAUUUGAAAGCAGACUUCCGCCCGCCUUUUCUACCGUUGGAAAUGCAAGAUGCGGCGACUUGACUUCAGACACCGAGAGAGGCUGGCAUGAAAAGUGCUACACAGUUCUCACACAUCUUCUGACUCCGAAGCCGCUGCAGUGUAAAAUCUGAGAUGUCUUUUCUGGUUGAUUUUGUGCAGAUUUCUGACAGCGACAGCGAUGGUGAGGGAAGCAGUGUACCGAACUCUCAGAUGACUCGGACCAGGUGACCAAACCCAUGCAAAGCACAAUGACUGUGCUGAGGCGUUCCGCCCCCCUCCCCCUCCACACCACUCAAGGCACGGCGGCGGCCCAACCGCAAACUAACGUGAGUACACAACACACACACACUUGUGUGCAUGCCACGCACUGACACUUUCUCUACAGUGACUUGUCAACUUUCCUUACAUUGUGUGUGUGCGU